GCUCAUGUAGCUCAGGGGUAGAGCGCGUCCUUGGUAAGGACGAGGUCGUGGGUUCAAUUCCCACCAUGAGCU
rnacentral:tRNA from 1 species